CAGAAUAAUUGAUGGAAUCUCUCAGAUUGCCCAUUUUUCAGAGACAUGGAAUAAGUCAGAAUUACGCACAGGGUGCAAUGAGGCGAUUGAAGAGGAAUUUGACCCGUAAGCCUCCAGCUUGUCAGGAUUUUAAUCAGCUGCUCCCAACCUCAGGCAACGCUAAGACUAUAGGUGAGUCAUUUUUAAGAUGAAUAAUAAGUGUAGAUUUUACUUCAAAAGUCCCAUAUACUUCUUGAGUGUUGCUUCAGGUUGUGCUGAGAGCUGACCUCAGGUGGAGGAGCUGAGAAGCUCAUUACAUCAUUUCCACCUCACCUGGGUCCUUUUCAAAGCCAGGUGCUCCUGAAUGGUAAAAGAGUUCUGGGAUCAAGUUCUGAAGGUAGGAGGAAACCUGAAGUCUUCUGGUGGCUCUGGGGACCUCUCUAGAAGGAGUGAAGCUCUUGAAGAGCUGGAAUGAUGUGAUGAGAAACAAGCCUUCAAGUGGAAUUACAGCUGGUGUGGAUUUACCACGAUCUUCCCAUCCAUGUUCUCCUGGAUAAUCAACCAGUCUCCGAUGCUGAAUUCCCAAAGCUGGGCUCAAGAAGGAGCAGGAAGUGCUUUGUUUGGGAGCGCACUUGGAAACUCAGCUGUUGUGCUGGAAAACAUUCAGUAUUUGUGUAUCAACAGUGUAUAACUGCCUCCAGACAGCCAGAAGGAUGCAAUUCGUGCAGUGGGAUGGGGUGAUGCUCAGGCUUUGUAUGGGACCUGUCCAAGCAAUUGGUUUGGGACACAAGGAUGGGAGCGGUAGUGGAAGGAGAGCACAUCUAU